GGAGCCCCUCUGGAGACGGGGGCUGAGUCUCACGAGGCUGGAAGGGAGGUGGAUGGCCAGACUCGCAGCACAACGUCAGAAACGGGCCACUUACAGCAAAGACUGAGGCUCAAACACAAGUAAAGCAAAUGCACCCCUAAUCAAAGGCAGUACUUGUGACAGCCCCAAGGGAAAAGGUACUGAGCCAUCUCUACUGCCUGGCCUGCUGGGUUUACUCAUCACAGAGAGGAGAGGAGGGUUGAGAUUGAACAGAAAUGAUGGGAAUACUCAAAACACAAAAAGGGAGGGGCGAUGUAAGAGGUGGCGAGCAAGCCAGCCCAUCAGAGGGAGUGGUCGUGGCCUUGCUGCCCCGUGGAUUUCUCUGUGGGGAUUGGCUGUGAGGGAUGGUGUCCCUUUACGACUCCUCCUAGGCCUGGUUCAUACAUUCAGGCCACACUGGUUUUAACAUAAGGCGAACCCAGGCACACAGCUGGGGCAAAGGCGCUCGCUAGACCAUGAACAUCGCAUCUUGUGUUGCUUCCUUGAACAGAGGUGACUGGGCCACUUCUGUCCAAACUGCCAGGGCUACAGCUGAAGCCAUCCGUGAGAGCCCAGGCGGGGAGCAGCAGCUCGGCUCAGGGAGCCUGCAGUCCUCAGGAGACCCGCUCAGGCACCAGGAAGGAGCGUCCGCUUCUCCUCAUGAUGCGUCACAGCUUCAGGGGUGCAGCCCCAGCCGCCUGGGGCACCAGCCUCACCAAACCAGUUUGCUGAAGGGCCUGGUGGAGAGUGGUGCUGACUGUGGGUGGGAAGGACAGGGCCUACCCUGGAUGGCAUGCCUGCUGCACAUCCUUCUCCCAGGGAGUGACUCAGACUGAGAGGGGUGGGAGGAGGCCCAGAGGCCCUGAGCCCCCUGGACAGGCCAUGCACGAUACUGCACCAGGGUGUCCUGGGAGUAGUGUGGUCCUGUCUUCUUGCCCGUGGGCAGCCAGUGACCAUAGUGCUUGGGGCACUAGUUCAUAAAUGGGGCCACUCUACCUCCAUGCCAACUGCAGAGAGAGGGUGGGGCCCAGCUACAGGGUGGGGGAAUCCCAGGAUCUUUGGGACCCGAACCCCAGAUGCAUGUGCUGGGGUUCUGCUAGAAGGGCAGGCAGGGAGCCUCAUUCUCAGGAGGAGUCCAGAGACCUUGUCAUUUCCCUCCUCUCCCCACUUGCUCCCAGACAGCCCCCCACUUUUCGCUGUUUGGCUCUGGUCGGCCCCGAGCCCCAAGUCUGCACCAGGCCUCGCACUGGGCGCUGCCAUUGGAAGAGAACAGGCUGGGCCCUGGCAGUGCUCGGUCACCGCCAUCAGAGCAAAAGGGUGUUUGUGAGCUAGCCUGGAAAAUGGAGCAUGUCCUCUGUUAUGUUUCCCAUGGAAAGAAUUUCAUUUAAUUCCAAAUUAUUUCAAACAUUAUAGUCUCAAAUAAAAAAUAUUGACUAACAAA